rnacentral:rRNA from 1 species
AGCGCAUACGGUGGAUGCCUUGGCAGUCAGAGGCGAUGAAAGACGUGGUAGCCUGCGAAAAGCUUCGGGGAGUCGGCAAACAGACUGUGAUCCGGAGGUAUCUGAAUGGGGGAACCCAGCCAUCAUAAGAUGGUUAUCUUGUACUGAAUACAUAGGUGCAAGAGGCGAACCAGGGGAACUGAAACAUCUAAGUACCCUGAGGAAAAGAAAUCAACCGAGAUUCCCUUAGUAGUGGCGAGCGAACGGGGACCAGCCCUUAAGUUGUAUUGAGAUUAGCGGAACACUCUGGAAAGGGUGGCCAUAGUGGGUGAUAGCCCUGUACGCGAAAAUCCCUUUGCAAUGAAAUCGAGUAGGACGGGGCACGAGAAACCUUGUCUGAAUAUGGGGGGACCAUCCUCCAAGGCUAAAUACUACUGACUGACCGAUAGUGAACCAGUACCGUGAGGGAAAGGCGAAAAGAACCGCGGAGAGCGGAGUGAAAUAGAUCCUGAAACCGUAUGCGUACAAGCAGUGGGAGCCCACUUUGUUGGGUGACUGCGUACCUUUUGUAUAAUGGGUCAGCGACUUAUUUUCAGUGGCGAGCUUAACCGAAUAGGGGAGGCGUAGCGAAAGCGAGUCUUAAUAGGGCGUCUAGUCGCUGGGAAUAGACCCGAAACCGGGCGAUCUAUCCAUGGGCAGGUUGAAGGUUGGGUAACACUAACUGGAGGACCGAACCGACUACCGUUGAAAAGUUAGCGGAUGACCUGUGGAUCGGAGUGAAAGGCUAAUCAAGCUCGGAGAUAGCUGGUUCUCCUCGAAAGCUAUUUAGGUAGCGCCUCAUGUAUCACUGUAGGGGGUAGAGCACUGUUUCGGCUAGGGGGUCAUCCCGACUUACCAAACCGAUGCAAACUCCGAAUACCUACAAGUGCCGAGCAUGGGAGACACACGGCGGGUGCUAACGUCCGUCGUGAAAAGGGAAACAACCCAGACCGUCAGCUAAGGUCCCAAAGUCAUGGUUAAGUGGGAAACGAUGUGGGAAGGCUUAGACAGCUAGGAGGUUGGCUUAGAAGCAGCCACCCUUUAAAGAAAGCGUAAUAGCUCACUAGUCGAGUCGGCCUGCGCGGAAGAUGUAACGGGGCUCAAACCAUGCACCGAAGCUACGGGUAUCAUCUUUUGAUGAUGCGGUAGAGGAGCGUUCUGUAAGCCUGUGAAGGUGAGUUGAGAAGCUUGCUGGAGGUAUCAGAAGUGCGAAUGCUGACAUGAGUAACGACAAUGGGUGUGAAAAACACCCACGCCGAAAGACCAAGGUUUCCUGCGCAACGUUAAUCGACGCAGGGUUAGUCGGUCCCUAAGGCGAGGCUGAAAAGCGUAGUCGAUGGAAAACAGGUUAAUAUUCCUGUACUUCUGGUUAUUGCGAUGGAGGGACGGAGAAGGCUAGGCCAGCCUGGCGUUGGUUGUCCAGGUUUAAGGUGGUAGGCUGAGAUCUUAGGUAAAUCCGGGAUCUUAAGGCCGAGAGCUGAUGACGAGUGUUCUUUUAGAACACGAAGUGGUUGAUGCCAUGCUUCCAAGAAAAGCUUCUAAGCUUCAGGUAACCAGGAACCGUACCCCAAACCGACACAGGUGGUUGGGUAGAGAAUACCAAGGCGCUUGAGAGAACUCGGGUGAAGGAACUAGGCAAAAUGGCACCGUAACUUCGGGAGAAGGUGCGCCGGUGAGGGUGAAGCAUUUACUGCGUAAGCCCAUGCCGGUCGAAGAUACCAGGCCGCUGCGACUGUUUAUUAAAAACACAGCACUCUGCAAACACGAAAGUGGACGUAUAGGGUGUGACGCCUGCCCGGUGCCGGAAGGUUAAUUGAUGGGGUUAGCGCAAGCGAAGCUCUUGAUCGAAGCCCCGGUAAACGGCGGCCGUAACUAUAACGGUCCUAAGGUAGCGAAAUUCCUUGUCGGGUAAGUUCCGACCUGCACGAAUGGCGUAACGAUGGCGGCGCUGUCUCCACCCGAGACUCAGUGAAAUUGAAAUCGCUGUGAAGAUGCAGUGUAUCCGCGGCUAGACGGAAAGACCCCGUGAACCUUUACUAUAGCUUUGCACUGGACUUUGAAUUUGCUUGUGUAGGAUAGGUGGGAGGCUUUGAAGCGUGGACGCCAGUCUGCGUGGAGCCAACCUUGAAAUACCACCCUGGCAACUUUGAGGUUCUAACUCAGGUCCGUUAUCCGGAUCGAGGACAGUGUAUGGUGGGUAGUUUGACUGGGGCGGUCUCCUCCUAAAGAGUAACGGAGGAGUACGAAGGUGCGCUCAGACCGGUCGGAAAUCGGUCGUAGAGUAUAAAGGCAAAAGCGCGCUUGACUGCGAGACAGACACGUCGAGCAGGUACGAAAGUAGGUCUUAGUGAUCCGGUGGUUCUGUAUGGAAGGGCCAUCGCUCAACGGAUAAAAGGUACUCCGGGGAUAACAGGCUGAUACCGCCCAAGAGUUCAUAUCGACGGCGGUGUUUGGCACCUCGAUGUCGGCUCAUCACAUCCUGGGGCUGAAGCCGGUCCCAAGGGUAUGGCUGUUCGCCAUUUAAAGUGGUACGCGAGCUGGGUUUAGAACGUCGUGAGACAGUUCGGUCCCUAUCUGCCGUGGACGUUUGAGAUUUGAGAGGGGCUGCUCCUAGUACGAGAGGACCGGAGUGGACGAACCUCUGGUGUUCCGGUUGUCACGCCAGUGGCAUUGCCGGGUAGCUAUGUUCGGAAAAGAUAACCGCUGAAAGCAUCUAAGCGGGAAACUUGCCUCAAGAUGAGAUCUCACUGGAACCUUGA